GCUGAUAAUUACUUGGUAGAGACAUUACCAACUUGUCAAUGGACUUCUGAACAUUUUCAAGCUGCUCCUCUAAAUUGGCAAUGGUGCUACCUUGAGAAUGAAGCCGUGUUAUCUCUUCCUUAAGAUUAGCACCUACACUCUGCUUGUAGUUUGGCAAUGGUUUCUGCGGCAUCUUGGUUCCCCAGUCUGUGACAAGCCACCUCCUUUUGCAAUACUUCGAGGGCUCUAUUAGCUUCCUCCCCAAGCUGCUCCUGGAGAUGUUCCAGCUUACGAAUUUCAUGCAUAAGUGUGAAAGGAGCAGUAGAUGAUUGUCUCAUCAUUGACUGCCUUAAUAUCAUGCCACGGCCAAGGUCCUUGCUGUCAAGUCUCUGAGACAAUGCACCAGUAAAGGACAAACACUUCUUCACUGGAGGACGGGCAGAUUCAAUUGGGUUAGAACCCUGAAAACAAAAAUGGAUGUUAUUUCAUGAUCUCAAGGCACGUGAUAUAUUGUUAAGGAAAAAUUUAUUGUCAGUGAGUACAAGAAGAGAGGAGGGACAGGGAGAGAGACCUGCUGGUCCUCCUCAAGUUUUCUGCGGAGCUCAUCAACCUGGGAUUGGGCGAGGUCUCUUUCUCGUUUUAAUUCUUCAAUCUCCAUUUCCAUCUGGAUUUUAAUCAAACGCUAAGUUCUGGAAAAUUCACUCAACUUUAUGUAGAGAAAUUGUCAAAUUGAAUUGUAAAGUUACCUGUUGGAUUUUUAGAUCUUUCUCCCGUUUUGGAUCAGGAGUGCGCAGUUCUGCUUCUAGCCUGGCAACUUCCUUCUGUAAAUGUUUGACCAAUUGUUUGUCCGACACAACCUGUUUAAAAAUUUUCAAACAAAAAGUUAACGGAAA